rfam:Gossypium raimondii Chr12_contig_841, whole genome shotgun sequence.
UAUUAAAAAUUUCAUCCACUUCUAUUGUUAAAAAUUGGCAUGGUUAACAGAAUAAUUGCGCCAUGUGUUCCUCUUACGGAUAUAUAUCGAUCAGCUUUUAACAAUAGAAAUAGAUGAAAUUUUUAAUA